rnacentral:rRNA from 1 species
UUUCCUACGGGAGGCAGCAGUGAGGAAUAUUGGUCAAUGGGAGAGAUCCUGAACCAGCCAAGCCGCGUGAGGGAAGACGGCCCUAUGGGUUGUAAACCUCUUUUGUCGGAGAACAAAACCCGGGACGUGUCCCGGACUGCGUGUAUCCGAAGAAAAAGCAUCGGCUAACUCCGUGCCAGCAGCCGCGGUAAUACAGAGGUCUCAAGCGUUGUUCGGAAUCACUGGGCGUAAAGCGUGCGUAGGCUGUUUCGUAAGUCGUGUGUGAAAGGCGCGGGCUCAACCCGCGGACGGCACAUGAUACUGCG